CCACAGGUAGACACUAUACUAUACCCUCCCCACAGGUAGACACUACACUACCCUACCCACAGGUAGACACUAUACUAUACCCUCCCCACAGGUAGACACUAUACUAUACCCUACCCACAGGUAGACACUAUACUAUACCCUCCCCACAGGUAGACACUACACUACCCUACCCACAGGUAGACACUAUACUAUACCCUACCCACAGGUAGACACUAUACUAUACCCUACCCACAGGUAGACACUAUACUAUACCCUCCCCACAGGUAGACACUAUACUAUACCCUCCCCACAGGUAGACACUACACUACCCUACCCACAGGUAGACACUAUACUAUACCCUCCCCACAGGUAGACACUACACUACCCUACCCACAGGUAGACACUAUACUAUACCCUCCCCACAGGUAGACACUACACUAUACCCUACCCACAGGUAGACACUAUACACUACCCUACCCACAGGUAGACACUAUACACUACCCUACCCACAGGUAGACACUAUACACUACCCUACCCACAGGUAGACACUAUACUAUACCCUACCCACAGGUAGACACUAUACUACCCUACCCACAGGUAGACACUAUAC